GAAAAAAUAAGCAAAGGUGGUGAUGCCGGUCCAUCUAGAAUGAAGGAUGAGCAAAAGAUGAAAGAUAUUCCGCUCGAUCUUGUCUUAAGUUCGUCACAGCGUGGAAAUGAUGUCCGUUAUUUUGGAGAAAGCACGAUCGAUAUCGCCGGAAGCAGCGACAUCUCACUUGAUUCUUGGGAGAUACCUGAAAGGGUUGAAGCAGCAGAAGGAAGAAGUCGACAUCCCUCUUCCGAACGAGUGUUUGAGAAAGAGUUGAGCAUCGAUAAGCUAGAACUACCGCAAAAGUUCACUGAGCCGCAUCAAGAAUGGAACGGAAGGGUCACGGAGGCGCUCUCUUCAGAUGCUCAGCGGCUAUCGGUUAUCCAAAAAAGCGCACGUGAGCUGAGGAGGAACAUGGAAGC
rnacentral:misc_RNA from 1 species